rnacentral:sRNA from 1 species
UGUCACGACGUGAUGGAGUGUCAUGA